CCUGGUGAUUAUUGCGGUGAGGUCACACCCGGUCCCAUCCCGAACCCGGAAGUUAAGCUCGCCAGCGCCGAUGGUACUUGGGGGGUAGCCCCCUGGGAGAGUAGGUCAUUGCCAGGG
rnacentral:rRNA from 1 species